UUUUCAAUUAGCCAAAAAAGGAACUCAUACAAAAUAAAUUAAAAAACUCUCAAUAUAAACAACUCUAACUCUCAUCUUCUAGGGUUUUUGUAGAAUCCAAGGAAAACCAUGGCAUCAUCUAGGGUUUUCGGAAACUAUUUCAGAACUCUAAUGGCUGAAGCAAAGACCUCCGUCGAAAGACAUCUCCGGCAACCACAACAACCGUGGCUGGAAAAGGUCGUUCUGAAGGCAUACUGAAACCUCAAUCGAUUUCACCAGCUCUGCAAAAAUUUGUUGGUACUUUUGACAUAUCACGUAGUGAUGCAGUUAAGAAAAUCUGGACUCCAUCAAAACAAAUAAUCUUCAAGUUCACUUUCCAUUUCCUCUUUAUGUUACUUAUGAUAGAGAAUAAACCUUUGAAUGUUGAUAGUAUUGUUCUAUGGAGUGGCCCUUUUUGUGGAAAUGUUACAUGGAUGUUGUUAAGGAUUAAAGGUAUGAAAAUGGAAUCUUUGCUAAAAUGAGGGGUUUUGCUUGAGCUAUGUCAAGUAUGGAUACCUUGUCGUAAAAUGCAAUUGUUAGUAUAGAUGUAUAGUAAUUAGCACAUUAGAUGAUAAAAUAGAAAAAAUUAUUUAUGAUGGCUUAUCCUAGCAGAAUCCAAAUGCACAUGUCAGUAGGUGUGACAGUAUGACAGAUUUGAGGUGCUAAAAGUGACUUGUAUAGUUAACAUGGCACGGGAAGAUAUUGCAUUUUUAUUUUAAUUAAACAAUUUCCACAGGGAUGAUUGUUAUUCCUGUGCUUCUGGAAUAUGUAUCAACAAUUAAUAAUAUAGUAAUGACUGCUCUAGAAUGUCAUAUGCAAAUUGUAAUUAACAAUCAGUCUUUUAUCUGGUCCUUUGAGUGACUUUCUUGUUUCUAAGAUAGUUUAAUUGUCUUGAUCAAUCACAUAUUAGAUGGAAAUCUUAACAUUCUUCGAAAGUCUAGUUGUUUCUGCGAGAUUAAGAAGUCUAAAAAAUAAUCUGAAGAUGUGCACCAGAUUAAAGGAUAUUGUCAUUUUUCCUAUCUAGUAGACUGGCUGAUUAUGGAAGUAAUGGGUAUCCAAAGGUCUGUUGACAUUUUGGUAUUGAGGUCUCUGUUAUGAGUUAGGCUACUGAUUUACAUGUGAUAUAAAAUGAUCAAUUCUCUCUCCCUCUCUGUCAUUUUACAAUGUGAAAGAUGUACAUAUACUAAUAUUAAGCUUAUUUUGGUUGGUCAUUAUAACUCUUGGGUAAUUAGAGGCUGGUCUAGAAUAGAAUUAGCACACUACAUGGUAAUGAAUAAACUGGUCGGUAGGAUAUCGUUUUCUGCAAUUUCAACAUGUAUGAUAAUUUGAUAAGUUAGACUUUGCGGCAGUUUAUAUGAAGAAAGUAGGAUGCUCAUGGCUUGGGACCCUGAAAUACUAUGAUGUGUGAUUUGAUUAUCAUGUGCUGAAUAAUGCCUAAGCUUUUAUGCUCAAGCUACGUCAAACACUUUGUAUGACCAGCUAGGGCAUCUUUUAUAAGACAAAGCCGUAAAAAUUGCUGAUAUAUUACACCAGUUGUCAUACAUGUUUAUCCAUUGUUUUGUUCGAAGAAACUUUAAAGAUAAUGGAGACGUAUUUAGUGGACAUGAAGGUUAGAUGUACAAUUUCAAUUUUUCUGACUCCCAUAAUGUCUAUCCAAAAGGAAAAUAUAUUGUUUUUUUUACAGAAGCUGAAAUCAACGACACGCAAAACGAGCUAAAGUCUGGCAUAGACAUUCUUGGGGCUCUCAAUGGGAUAUUUUAAGUAACUUAUGAAAAAUUCCUACCUUCAGACGAUUCUGAUGCUGAUAUAUGUUACAUAUCAAAAAAAAUUGUAUGGCAGCAAUACGCUAGAAAUGGGAUGCAAGGACCAACGAGUUUGUCCAAGAUCAGCAGUGGUGGAUACUAUGGUACAAAACCAUCUGAGAUACCUUAUUGCAUGGCACCAAUAAAUGGCAUUGGAGUGCCACCUAUAGGAGGUGAGGGUACGUAGUCGAUGAGAAGAAGAUAAAAUUGCCUGAAGAGAAUGAAUACUGUGGAGUUGAUGGUAUAUAAAUUAAUAUGGGCGAACAUUUCAAAAUUUCUCCAAUAGAAGGUGAGUGCAUAUAAACUAUUUUGAA